CGGCCUCGUGGUUCCACUCCCCCUUCCCGGCUGUCCCUGCGUUCUAUAGAGGCGAAGGUGGCGGCUAGAGCGACUCUUCAGCCCCGGCCGAGGUGUGGGUGCAGAGUGAGACCGGAAGCCAGUGGACGGUUUUAACAACGGAGUGAUCUUCUACAAUUUGGCUGUGGUAUGGAGAAUGAACUGUAGAUGGAAGAUAAUAGCUAACAUUUAUUAAGCACUUAUGUGAAACCACCAAACUUUUCCAAUGCAGCUGUACCAUGCACUGGAAGACUUAAUACUGUCAAGAUGCAGUAACACUUUAAAACAAAAUAUCUGAUAUAAGAAGUUGAAGAAACAGAUCUCUGCUGUCUUCUUGAAACUGAAAACAACUAAAACCAACAAGGACAACAGAAACAGAAAUGUAAACUCCAUCAUCAACAAACUACAUAACAUUUACAGAACUAAAAUGUAUGAAGAAGGGCUGCCUAGGGCAGUGAAAAUUACACUGACAAAGGUGAAUACAGACAGCACCUGCCACUGCAAAUUUUAGAUAUGGCUGUCAGAGCAGAGUUUUCCAGAGGAAACACAGAGAGCACACUGAGGGAUAAUAAAACUAACCUCCCCAUAUUUAAACAAACGUGUGAGGACUGGCUCUGCAGAUCAUGUGACCCUAGUCAGUAGCAAGGGAAUGGCAAGGAAGAUGAGGCUGAACAAAGAAACUCAGAGAUACCUCAUCUUUGUAAGAAGACAUCAAUCAGUCUGGCAAGAUGACAAGCUGUUUUGCAAGGACCAAUCUUUUUCAGUUGAAGAAGACUAAAUCAACCCAAUCGCUUAUUUAUAUACACGUAUACUUCUUUAUCGGGUAGGGCUUUGUUGUGAGUCAGGGAGGCUGCCCACCAGUCCAGGGUAUUCAUAGGACAACUCAAGGUACAUGCUUGCUAUCUUUCUCUUCUAGCUCAUCUACAAUAUCCUUCCAAAUUAGGUUUUCCAAGAAAACUCCCCUUAUUCAUAUAAAAUUAAUAAGCAAAACAGACAAAAGCAUAGGACUGAUUUUAAAAAACAGUGCCAAAAAAAAGAGGGGAAAGAAUACAGUAAACAUAAAAUAGAUAAAAUGAAGAACAUGCACAAGAGGAUUUUGCCAUAAAACAAAUUAAAAUUGUGACCAAAUAUCUUUCCAAGAAAUAAAAUAAUUUGAUGAAAAAAAAAGGCUCCUAUGAAAUAAGAGCUCAGUGAGAUAUAAAGGCUCAAGGAAAUAACAUACAAAGGCUUAAAAGAAGUAGACAACAGAAGAUGAAAAAUGGGAUUGCAGAGAUCAGGAAAGCAAUAAAAAAGAAAACAAAAACCACCACAGAAACAAAGGCUACAAAAGAAGUAGUAGUAGUAGUAGAAAGGAGAUUAGACACUAACCCUACUGGAUUAACCCAUAAAUGUGAAUAAAAGCAGGCUGGCUUCAGACUUUCACACUGCAACAUCCAAUCCUAGAAACAAUGGGGCAAUGUUAUAAAUUCCUCAGGAAAAGAAUGGGAGAUCCAAGAAUUUUAUGCUGAGUCAAACUGUCCUCCCAGUAGAAAGGGAAUAAAUUUGAUCAAACACAUGAGAAGAGAGCAUAUGGCUCCCAUGAGCUGUGCUUUAUCAGCUUCUCAUGAAGCCCAGUAAAAGAGGGUAAAAAUCAGUUUUGGAGUUUUAAGAUACUUUAAUCCAACCCAGAAGAAAUAAAUAAUUUCCCUAAAACCAUAAAGUUAAAAAUAGUUUUCCUGAUAUCAUGCUGGCCCUAUCCUCAAGAUCUUCAGUUGGUAACAAGAGACCAGAA